rnacentral:rRNA from 1 species
UACGUAGGGGGCAAGCGUUGUCCGGAAUCAUUGGGCGUAAAGCGCGUGUAGGCGGUUCGGUAAGUCGGCUGUGAAAGUCAAGGGCUCAACCCUUGAAUGCCGGUUGAUACUGUCGGGCUAGAGUCCGGAAGAGGCGAGUGGAAUUCCCGGUGUAGCGGUGAAAUGCGCAGAUAUCGGGAGGAACACCAAUGGCGAAGGCAGCUCGCUGGGACGGUACUGACGCUGAGACGCGAAAGCGUGGGGAGCAAACAGG